GUAUUGGUGGUUCAGUGAUAGAAUUUGAGCCUUCCAUGUGGAAGACAUGGGUUCAAUUCCCAGCCAGUGCA
rnacentral:tRNA from 1 species